rnacentral:rRNA from 1 species
UACGUAGGGACCAAGCGUUGUUCGGAUUUACUGGGCGUAAAGGGCGCGUAGGCGGCGUGGUAAGUCACUUGUGAAAUCUCUGAGCUUAACUCAGAACGGCCAAGUGAUACUGCUGUGCUAGAGUGCAGAAGGGGCAAUCGGAAUUCUUGGUGUAGCGGUGAAAUGCGCAGAUAUCAGGAGGAACACCGAUGGCGAAGGCAGCUCGCUGGGACGGUACUGACGCUGAGGCGCGAAAGCGUGGGGAGCAAACAGG